GGUGUGCUAUGUCCUUGAAGAUGGGCGGGUGACAGCAGUAAAGGCUAUUGGAAGUACCCUACAGGUUUGAUGGAAGGGGUAACUCCAGGUGUCUGUGCAGGAAUGCCAGCUCCAGAUGAAGAUGUCUCUGCUGGUCUGCCUGUAAUUGAGGAAGUUGGUUAAGAUAUGGAAGGUGUUGAGUUUGUCAGCAUUGUGGAGCAGUGGAAACCGUGAUGGGGAGGAGGAGAUAAGAAUCGUGUGCUUGGCAUGACAAAGAAAACAGCAGUCAUCUCCUCCUGCCAGACUUGGGCUUCAGAGUUGUGUUGGUUUGCAUCUCCCUGCUCCACCUCCAUUCCUAGUUUUGGGGACUGCAAGGCACGUCACAGACUGGAUGCUGGAAGAAGUAGCAGCUUUUCAAGUGCCACCUAAACUCCACAGCUGCUUGCAGGGCAGAGGCAGCUGGAGUGGCAAGGAGAAAGUUUGCUUUAACCCUGAAACUUGCACAGACCUGUGUUUACCAUAACAUCUGGCUAUUAAAAAACUAGAUUUAUUUUGCAUACAGAAUAAUGCAGGAAGUCCACACUGCCUUGACAUUAGAGUUUUUCUGUCUCUCCUACUCCCCGCCCCAUCUCAAACCCAGAACCUCUGCAAGGUCCCAUUCUGUGUAGCUGCUCUUCUCCCCCUGCACUGAGCAUCCCUAAAACCUGAGCAUAAUAGCAUCCUGCUAAUUAUAUCACUGCAGAUUUAUUUCAUGGUAAUAUUAUAGCUGGCCUCAGGCAUCACCACUAUCAUUGGAAAACAUCGAAUGAUCACAGCUUCUUAGCUGCCUCCAUUAAACCUGGGAGAAGCGUCUGGGCCUGUUUAUAAGUUUGUCUUUUGAUGGGAGCCAAGGAUUGAUGAGCUGGUGGAUGUGAGGUUUGUGGAACGUGCCCUGGAGGGAAGCUUCCCUCGUCACGGCAGCCAUAAGGUGCAGAUGGCGGGAUCGCGAGCGGAAUGCAGACGCAGCCGGGGAAGCGUCACCUUCAUCUCAUCGAGGCAGACCUUGCCCCCUCCCUGGCAGCACCACCCCGUGCUGAGGGCUGCACAGCAUUCCAAAUCAGUGCUGCUGGCAGCUUGGUUGGAGCUGCUCCCAGGGAAAGGGGGCGUUUUGAGCAAGCAAGUGGUCUUGUGAUGCUUUCUGCUGACAGUCUUGGAGCUAGGGCAGAAGGAAAGGCACAAAUACCGCUGCCAUUUUUCAACCAAAAAAAA